CUAGAAUUCGGAGACAAUACAACAAAUAGUGCAGAGUCAAAGCACCUUACAGAACAUUUACUGACAAAAUUGUGCACUAGCUAGCUAUCAUCCACCAUUACCAAUAUCAGCAUUUGAUAUCGCAGUACGAUUUACAGCCACACUGCAGACUAUUAUCACCAUGGCAGCACCAUACCUGGUUCCACAUGUUCUGGUUCCUGGUAGUAGAAUAACAGUUGGCUGACACUGUUGGGACUCAGAAAUUGGUCCAUCAUUUCAAUCUACAACCAGAGAGGGAGAGAUUAGAUUGAAAGAACCAGAUUGCUAUGAUCAGUGACAAAGAUGGACUUGCACAUGAAUCAAACAAAAUGUCAUUUACUUCAGCAUAUAUGUUAUUUAGACUGUUCCUUCAAGUUAAGUCUGAUAAAAUUAUAUCUUUCUUGCUCUUAUUACCAUCUACAUAAAAACUAGACCCUACUACAAUCUAAUUACAAUGAGAUAUACUCAUUUGCUCCUACUACUAAGAAAAGAUAAAGAUCUGAUUACAAUCAGAUUGAUCAACACUAUGAUGCUAUCAUCUCUCCUCACCAUUAUUUCAAUAACUUCCCGCCUGGUGUGCAACAAAAAUAUUUAGGUCUAACUUACAAUUUUUGUAGAACCCCUGACUCCAGAGAUGACUUACCUGGUUUCCCUCCAAUAUGGCAUCCUCCACCUCUGUGAGCUCCAGACCCAGGCUGUCGGCCACCGUCUGGAGGAUGUAGAAGUGACGUUCAUCUAGAUGCGCUCGCUUGGCCUCCCUCUCCUCCUUCAGCUUUUGCUGGAGAAAAAAGAAAGAAAUGUUCAGAGAUCAUUCUUCUUAGUGACUUCUCAUUGGAUAUUUAUCACUGUUACUAACAUGAAUCCUAUUAGAAAGUGAUUUCAUCAGGCCAUUACAUGUAUGAAAUGUUCACCUGAUUUGCAAUUCAUAUGUAUGUACUUGUUUCCCCCACAUGCUACAUCCACAUGUAGUUUGCAGUUCAUGUAAUCUGUAGUUAUAAUGUUGUAAACUUUUUUUUUUAAAUUUCCUUCUUUAUAAGCUGUCUUGCUGUUAUGCCCUCUGGGCCCAAAAUUGGAAUAAACUUAUCUUAUCUGUUG